rnacentral:rRNA from 1 species
UUAAGCGACUAAGCGUACACGGUGGAUGCCCUGGCAGUCAGAGGCGAUGAAGGACGUGCUAAUCUGCGAUAAGCGUCGGUAAGGUGAUAUGAACCGUUAUAACCGGCGAUUUCCGAAUGGGGAAACCCAGUGUGAUUCGUCACACUAUCAUUAACUGAAUCCAUAGGUUAAUGAGGCGAACCGGGGGAACUGAAACAUCUAAGUACCCCGAGGAAAAGAAAUCAACCGAGAUUCCCCAGUAGCGGCGAGCGAACGGGGAGCAGCCCAGAGCCUGAAUCAGUGUGUGUGUUAGUGGAAGCGUCUGGAAAGGCGCGCGAUACAGGGUGACAGCCCCGUACACAAAAAUGCACAUGCUGUGAGCUCGAUGAGUAGGGCGGGACACGUGGUAUCCUGUCUGAAUAUGGGGGGACCAUCCUCCAAGGCUAAAUACUCCUGACUGACCGAUAGUGAACCAGUACCGUGAGGGAAAGGCGAAAAGAACCCCGGCGAGGGGAGUGAAAAAGAACCUGAAACCGUGUACGUACAAGCAGUGGGAGCACGCUUAGGCGUGUGACUGCGUACCUUUUGUAUAAUGGGUCAGCGACUUAUAUUCUGUAGCAAGGUUAACCGAAUAGGGGAGCCGAAGGGAAACCGAGUCUUAACUGGGCGUUAAGUUGCAGGGUAUAGACCCGAAACCCGGUGAUCUAGCCAUGGGCAGGUUGAAGGUUGGGUAACACUAACUGGAGGACCGAACCGACUAAUGUUGAAAAAUUAGCGGAUGACUUGUGGCUGGGGGUGAAAGGCCAAUCAAACCGGGAGAUAGCUGGUUCUCCCCGAAAGCUAUUUAGGUAGCGCCUCGUGAAUUCAUCUCCGGGGUAGAGCACUGUUUCGGCAAGGGGGUCAUCCCGACUUACCAACCCGAUGCAAACUGCGAAUACCGGAGAAUGUUAUCACGGGAGACACACGGCGGGUGCUAACGUCCGUCGUGAAGAGGGAAACAACCCAGACCGCCAGCUAAGGUCCCAAAGUCAUGGUUAAGUGGGAAACGAUGUGGGAAGGCCCAGACAGCCAGGAUGUUGGCUUAGAAGCAGCCAUCAUUUAAAGAAAGCGUAAUAGCUCACUGGUCGAGUCGGCCUGCGCGGAAGAUGUAACGGGGCUAAACCAUGCACCGAAGCUGCGGCAGCGACACUGUGUGUUGUUGGGUAGGGGAGCGUUCUGUAAGCCUGCGAAGGUGUGCUGUGAGGCAUGCUGGAGGUAUCAGAAGUGCGAAUGCUGACAUAAGUAACGAUAAAGCGGGUGAAAAGCCCGCUCGCCGGAAGACCAAGGGUUCCUGUCCAACGUUAAUCGGGGCAGGGUGAGUCGACCCCUAAGGCGAGGCCGAAAGGCGUAGUCGAUGGGAAACAGGUUAAUAUUCCUGUACUUGGUGUUACUGCGAAGGGGGGACGGAGAAGGCUAUGUUGGCCGGGCGACGGUUGUCCCGGUUUAAGCGUGUAGGCUGGUUUUCCAGGCAAAUCCGGAAAAUCAAGGCUGAGGCGUGAUGACGAGGCACUACGGUGCUGAAGCAACAAAUGCCCUGCUUCCAGGAAAAGCCUCUAAGCAUCAGGUAACAUCAAAUCGUACCCCAAACCGACACAGGUGGUCAGGUAGAGAAUACCAAGGCGCUUGAGAGAACUCGGGUGAAGGAACUAGGCAAAAUGGUGCCGUAACUUCGGGAGAAGGCACGCUGAUACGUAGGUGAAGUCCCUCGCGGAUGGAGCUGAAAUCAGUCGAAGAUACCAGCUGGCUGCAACUGUUUAUUAAAAACACAGCACUGUGCAAACACGAAAGUGGACGUAUACGGUGUGACGCCUGCCCGGUGCCGGAAGGUUAAUUGAUGGGGUCAGCGCAAGCGAAGCUCUUGAUCGAAGCCCCGGUAAACGGCGGCCGUAACUAUAACGGUCCUAAGGUAGCGAAAUUCCUUGUCGGGUAAGUUCCGACCUGCACGAAUGGCGUAAUGAUGGCCAGGCUGUCUCCACCCGAGACUCAGUGAAAUUGAACUCGCUGUGAAGAUGCAGUGUACCCGCGGCAAGACGGAAAGACCCCGUGAACCUUUACUAUAGCUUGACACUGAACAUUGAGCCUUGAUGUGUAGGAUAGGUGGGAGGCUUUGAAGUGUGGACGCCAGUCUGCAUGGAGCCGACCUUGAAAUACCACCCUUUAAUGUUUGAUGUUCUAACGUUGACCCGUAAUCCGGGUUGCGGACAGUGUCUGGUGGGUAGUUUGACUGGGGCGGUCUCCUCCUAAAGAGUAACGGAGGAGCACGAAGGUUGGCUAAUCCUGGUCGGACAUCAGGAGGUUAGUGCAAUGGCAUAAGCCAGCUUGACUGCGAGCGUGACGGCGCGAGCAGGUGCGAAAGCAGGUCAUAGUGAUCCGGUGGUUCUGAAUGGAAGGGCCAUCGCUCAACGGAUAAAAGGUACUCCGGGGAUAACAGGCUGAUACCGCCCAAGAGUUCAUAUCGACGGCGGUGUUUGGCACCUCGAUGUCGGCUCAUCACAUCCUGGGGCUGAAGUAGGUCCCAAGGGUAUGGCUGUUCGCCAUUUAAAGUGGUACGCGAGCUGGGUUUAGAACGUCGUGAGACAGUUCGGUCCCUAUCUGCCGUGGGCGCUGGAGAAUUGAGGGGGCUGCUCCUAGUACGAGAGGACCGGAGUGGACGCAUCACUGGUGUUCGGGUUGUCAUGCCAAUGGCACUGCCCGGUAGCUAAAUGCGGAAGAGAUAAGUGCUGAAAGCAUCUAAGCACGAAACUUGCCCCGAGAUGAGUUCUCCCUGACUCCUUGAGAGUCCUGAAGGAACGUUGAAGACGACGACGUUGAUAGGCCGGGUGUGUAAGCGCAGCGAUGCGUUGAGCUAACCGGUACUAAUGAACCGUGAGGCUUAACCUU